rnacentral:lncRNA from 1 species
AUGGCUUCAAGUAGACGACCUGUAAUUCUACUUGUAUGCCUCUUCUUGACGUUCAUCUUCACUAAUGUCGGCAACUGCCAUGCCUCAAGAACCGCCCAAGUCUUCAAGCUCAAGCCAAAGUACCAGCAAACAGGCCACUUUUCGGGGUUCUUGCCAAGAAGGAUACCUAUUCCGGCUUCUGGACCCUCAAGGAAGCACAAUGAUAUCGGCUUAAGAAGUUGGAGAUCACCCUGA